rnacentral:rRNA from 1 species
AGAGUUUGAUCCUGGCUCAGAUUGAACGCUGGCGGAAUGCUUUACACAUGCAAGUCGAACGGCAGCACGGGAGCUUGCUCCUGGUGGCGAGUGGCGGACGGGUGAGUAAUAUAUCGGAACGUAUCUUUUAAUGGGGGAUAACUAGCCGAAAGGUUAGCUAAUACCGCAUACGCCCUGAGGGGGAAAGCAGGGGAUCUUCGGACCUUGCGUUAAUUGAGCGGCCGAUAUCUGAUUAGCUAGUUGGUGGGGUAAAAGCCUACCAAGGCGACGAUCAGUAGCUGGUCUGAGAGGACGACCAGCCACACUGGAACUGAGACACGGUCCAGACUCCUACGGGAGGCAGCAGUGGGGAAUUUUGGACAAUGGGCGAAAGCCUGAUCCAGCCAUUCCGCGUGAGUGAAGAAGGCCUUCGGGUUGUAAAGCUCUUUCGCAAGGAAAGAAAACUUAUCUCCUAAUACGGGGUGAGGAUGACGGUACCUUGAUAAGAAGCACCGGCUAACUACGUGCCAGCAGCCGCGGUAAUACGUAGGGUGCGAGCGUUAAUCGGAAUUACUGGGCGUAAAGCGUGCGCAGGCUGUUUUGUAAGUCAGAUGUGAAAUCCCUGGGCUCAACCUAGGAACUGCGUUUGAAACUACAAGGCUAGAGUGUAGCAGAGGGGGGUAGAAUUCCACGUGUAGCAGUGAAAUGCGUAGAGAUGUGGAGGAAUACCAAUGGCGAAGGCAGCCCCCUGGGUUAACACUGACGCUCAUGCACGAAAGCGUGGGGAGCAAACAGGAUUAGAUACCCUGGUAGUCCACGCCCUAAGCGAUGUCUACUAGUUGUUGGGAGAGUAAAAUCUCUUAGUAACGCAGCUAACGCGUGAAGUAGACCGCCUGGGGAGUACGGUCGCAAGAUUAAAACUCAAAGGAAUUGACGGGGGCCCGCACAAGCGGUGGAUUAUGUGGAUUAAUUCGAUGCAACGCGAAAAACCUUACCUGGCCUUGACAUGUACCGAAUUUGGGAGAGAUUCCUUAGUGCUCGAAAGAGAACGGUAACACAGGUGCUGCAUGGCUGUCGUCAGCUCGUGUCGUGAGAUGUUGGGUUAAGUCCCGCAACGAGCGCAACCCUUGCCAUUAAUUGCCAUCAUUUAGUUGGGCACUUUAAUGGGACUGCCGGUGACAAACCGGAGGAAGGUGGGGAUGACGUCAAGUCCUCAUGGCCCUUAUGGCCAGGGCUUCACACGUAAUACAAUGGUCGGUACAGAGGGUUGCCAACCCGCGAGGGGGAGCCAGUCUCAGAAAGCCGAUUGUAGUCCGGAUUGUAGUCUGCGACUCGACUACAUGAAGUCGGAAUCGCUAGUAAUCGCGGAUCAGCAUGUCGUGGUGAAUACGUUCCCGGGCCUUGUACACACCGCCCGUCACACCAUGGGAGUGGGUUUCACCAGAAGUAGUUAGUCUAACCGCAAGGAGGACGAUUACCACGGUGGGAUUCAUGACUGGGGUGAAGUCGUAACAAGGUA